rnacentral:rRNA from 1 species
AUUGAACGCUGGCGGCAUGCCUAACACAUGCAAGUCGAACGGUAACAGGCCCUUCGGGGCGCUGACGAGUGGCGGACGGGUGAGUAAUGCUUAGGAACCUGCCUAGUAGUGGGGGAUAACCCGGGGAAACUCGGGCUAAUACCGCAUACGUCCUACGGGAGAAAGCGGGGACCUUCGGGCCUCGCGCUAUUAGAUGAGCCUAAGUCCGAUUAGCUAGUUGGUAGGGUAACGGCCUACCAAGGCGACGAUCGGGAGCUGGUCUGAGAGGACGACCAGCCACACUGGGACUGAGACACGGCCCAGACUCCUACGGGAGGCAGCAGUGGGGAAUAUUGGACAAUGGGCGCAAGCCUGAUCCAGCGAUGCCGCGUGUGUGAAGAAGGCCU